rnacentral:misc_RNA from 1 species
GUACCUUCAAGCUUUGCUUGGUGUUGGGCGUUUUUGUCUCUUUCUGGGAGACUCGCCUUAAAACGAUUGGCAGCCGGCCUACUGGUUUCGGAGCGCAGCACAUAUUUUGCGCUUUGUAUCAGGAGAAAAGGACGGUAAUCCAUCAAGACUCUACAAUCUUUAAC